UCGGUGUUGGGUUGGAAUGGACAGCGGCGAGGGUGACUUGUCCUUGCCGGUAUGAGAGGGGAAAGGGUGGAACGACUGCUGUCCGGGCUUUAUAUAUGACCGGCAAAACAGCCAAUCAGAUGUCGAGUCUUGGAGUCUUUCCUAAACAGUCCACCAAUGAGGCUUAGAGUCGUUGAUGACGCAAAUAACGAUCCAGCUUACUUCCUGUUUUAUUUCAUAAUCGCUGUGAAAGACCGCAUGGCUCGAGACGGUGGCUUUGUCUGGUGAUACAAGAUGUAGUUAGGCGAUGUGUGCUCUCCUCAGCUUUAUGACGAAAAAAAUGACUACAAUGAGAAGCCCGAAGAUCAGACAUGUAACCAGGAAGACCAGUAAUGAACUUCGUUCUGUUCCUGUCCGCAUUUUCAGGUCAUUAAAGAUUCCUGGGAAUUCACAGAAGGAUGGUAGUUAGUCCAGCAAUUGCCAUAAAUGCUUUAUACAAUUUGUACUGUAUGUGUAAAGACAAGACUGUCUUUAGUCUCCAGACACUGCACUGUUCAAAGUGUGAACUCACCUGUGUCGUUCCCUUCUGUGUGGUUAAAGGAUGAGAUCUCCUCUGUUGUCUCAGAGACAGAUGUCCAGCCUUUAAGGAAUUAUGAAGAAUGGAGGUACAAUUAAUAACAGAUUUAGAUCAACUGCUGCAUGCUGAAUAAACCCUAUUUUCUAAAUGGUACAACUCAAUUGUAUUUAUUCAGAGAUGUGUCACUUGAAUGUAACAUCACAUCAUACAGUUUUUUUUUUUUUUUACUUUCCUUCUUUAGAUACUGUACGUUUUAAUAUGUUCAUGUUGACACUAUUGUUAGGUUCAUGUUAUAAAUUCGUAUUAAACAAUUGUGGUUAUUUAGAAUUACCACUAGGUGGGAUCAGACUGCCAUUUGCCUAGAAAAGCUCUGUAUGUCUAAUACCUGCAGUGCUUGUUGCAUUACUGCUGGUGUCAUUCCUCCUCCUGGUUGAGUCUGAUAAUACUAAGGUUGUUGUGUAAUCUACAAGAAAAAUGACAUUUUGAUAAAUAAACCGUAUGAGAAAAUAGAA